UAACAUUUUAUUAGCUAUCCUGUUUAAAUUGUAUAUAUCAUUAUAUUUCCUAUCUAGGCGUUGUGCAACAUUCUUUGAAGACAAUAAUCUUCUUCUUCUUCAACCUUUUCCUCGGGUUGAUAAACGCAAUGACGUGAUUCUACUGCUUCUUGUUAAAUGUCUGAACUCAAUGACAUGAUUGCUUCGUUAUUUGCAGGUACAUUUAGUAGGUGCUCGUCUAUACAUUUUUCCUGAUAUUAUCAUGUGAUUAUUUAAACCUCUCUCUAUUUCAGAUUAUACAUUAAGAUAUUUUGAUAAGACUAAAAGAGUUCCAUUAGCUCCUGAGGUAAUAUAUGAUGGUAUCGAUAGCAAUGACUAUUUUUACAGUUUUGUCGGUCCCCA
rnacentral:lncRNA from 1 species